rnacentral:rRNA from 1 species
GGGGGGGGCGGGGGGGGGGCUGGGCGGGUGGAGGGCGAGCGGGAGGGCCCUGCUGUUGGGGGGGGGUCGGGUGGCGGCCGGGUGAGUCACGCGUGGGUAGCCUGCCCUUUGCUUUGGGGUGACUUCAGUCGCCUCGUGCUACUCCCCGCUUGUAUCUCCUGCUGCAUGGUGUUGGUUUGCCGGUUUCGGCGGUUGGUUAUGGACUCCCUGCUUCUCAGCUUGUUGGUGGGGUCGUGGCUUACCAAGGCUUUGACUGGUAGCCGUCCUGGGGGGGUGACCGGCCACAAUGGGAAUGAGAUACGGCCCAGACUCCUACGGGAGGCAGAAGUGGGGAAUAUUGUACAAUGGGAGGAAGCCUGAUGCAGCAACGCCGCGUGCGGGAGGACGGCCUUCGUGUUGUAAACCGAUUUGGCCUGUGACGAAGCGUGAGUGACGGUAAUGGGUAAAGAAGCACCGGCUAACUACGUG